rnacentral:rRNA from 1 species
GACGAACGCUGGCGGCGUGCUUAACACAUGCAAGUCGAACGGAAAGGCCCUGCUUUUGUGGUGUGCUCGAGUGGCGAACGGGUGAGUAACACGUGAGUAACCUGCCCUUGACUUUGGGAUAACUUCAGGUAACUGGGGCUAAUACCGUAUAGGAGCUCCUGCUGCAUGGAGGGGAUUGGAAAGUCUCGGCGGGUGGGGAUGGAGUCGCGGCUUAUCAGCUUGUUGGUGGGGUAGUGGCUUACCCAGGCUGUGACGGGUAGCCGGCUCGAGAGGGUGACCGGCCACAUUGGGACUGAGAUACGGCCCAGACUGCUACGGGGGGCAGAAGUGGGGAAUAUUGCACAAUGGGCGGAAGCCUGAUGAAGCAACGCCGCGUGCGGGAUGACGGCCUUCGGGUUGUAAACCGCUUUCGCCUGUGACGAAGCGGGAGUGACGGUAAUGAAUAAAGAAGCACCGGCUAACUACGUG